UUUUUGAUACAAUUCCUCUCAUGUGCCAAGCAUUAAGAUCUUUUAAAAGGGUUUGUUACCGCACAUAAGAUAUGAGCAACACUUCUUCCUCUAAGAAAAUCAGUCUUGAAAAUUUAGGAUUUUACAGUCCAUUAACCUGCUAUUAAAGACCAAUGACAAGAUUUCUUUCUGAAAUGAACUUUGCAUUGUGUAAGAACUUAGCUACAACACCAGAAAAGAGGAAGAAAAAAAAAGGCCCAAACAAUAAAAUGAGGCCCACAACAUGAUUCUUAUCAAAGUCCAUGCUAUUAAAGAAAUGAAAUUGCAGCUGUACAAAGCUGUAGACAUCGAUUAUGUGUAAUGGUGCAGAACCAGGUUGCAUCAGCAUUGAAUUUCAGGCUGUUCACAUUCCAUUUUACCUGCAUUUGUGGAAAGUUGAGCCAGUGUCAACUCCCACUAAGGAUGCAGUUGAUCACAGCAUUACAAAAAGUCAGACUGACAGAUAAGAGGAAGCAAAAGGUUCUGGGUCAUGUCUCUGCUGGGUUUUAAUUCGUUCUCAUUAGGAACAAUAAUAUACCAAAGUGCUUGUUAAAUUCUAAAAUUGAAAAGUAUGCUUAUAUAUGGAAUAUGGUUACAUUGUUUGUUUAGGUAGAAGAAAGGCAAAUAAAGUAUUUUUUUUAUUAAUUUCAGUAAGAAAUGUCUGUCCAAAAAGAAUUCUUCUAGUGUUAGGUAACACAUUAUCUGGGGUAGGUGAACAUGGCAAGAUAAGCAUGCUAUCAGAGGAGGAUAUUUUGGAAGUGAUCCAGGCAGAACGUUGGGUUCAUACUACAGCUGGAACUGUCCAGCUAUUUCAGUGAAGACUCACUGCUUGAGAAUGUCAAUGGUGAAACUCUGUGUGCUGGCUGCAUGCUGAACCUUUGUCUCAGCGAGGGCGGACCAGGACUGCUAUCAGCCUUUCCUUUCUUCUGCCUUGUUAUUUUAAAAAUAAAUUUUACAUGUGGAGGCCA
rnacentral:lncRNA from 1 species